rnacentral:rRNA from 1 species
GACGGAGGGUGCAAGCGUUGUUCGGAUUGACUGGGCGUAAAGGGCGUGUAGGCGGUUGGUCAAGUCUGGUGUGAAAGCCCGGGGCUCAACCCCGGAAGUGCAUUGGAAACUAGCCAGCUAGAGCGCGAGAGAGGAGGGUGGAAUUCCUGGUGUAGCGGUGAAAUGCGUAGAUAUCAGGAGGAACACCGGCGGCGAAGGCGGCCCUCUGGCUCGUUGCUGACGCUGAAACGCGAAAGCGUGGGGAGCAAACAGG